UAAUUCCAUGAUGAGGCAUGAAAUAAC
rnacentral:sRNA from 1 species